rnacentral:rRNA from 1 species
UACAGAGGGUGGCAAGCGUUGUUCGGAAUUAUUGGGCGUAAAGGGCGCGUAGGCGGUGCGGUAAGUCUGCGGUGAAAGUCUCCCGGCUCAACUGGGAGGCUGGCCGUGGAAACUGCCGUGCUUGAGUGUGGGAGAGGUGAGUGGAAUUCCCAGUGUAGAGGUGAAAUUCGUAGAUAUUGGGGAAGAACACCGGUGGCGAAGGCGGCCAUCUGGACCGCAACUGACGCUGAGGCGCGAAAGCGGUGGGGAGCGAACAGG